UUUUCUGUUAAUAUGAAGUACAGUUUAUACGUUUGUAAAUAUAAAUGGGCUAAUUUAGGCCCAGUUUAACUGCAAAAGUAUAUAAAAAGAUAAUUUCUGGAGUAAUAAUUUGUGAACAUACCGUCUCAUACGCCCAGCUGCCAACCAUUAAUUGUAUCGCUGUAUUAAACAAUACUAGUUUUUUUUAGUUGGAUCUGUUUUUUUUAGUCGAAACUGAGUGAUUUGUUAACCAAUCACACAGAAUCGUCCGAGCGUUUUCAUGAGUGGGUUUUAUUUUUGAAGGAACUGAUGGAGCCGAUUCGCUUAAACGAACUGGAGGCGGUCUCUUUAAAUAUCCCACAAUUCCUCACACCGCCCACACGUGUUCAUUGCUUUUUGCACAGUCGCACAAAGAUCACACGAUCGGGCAGACACAGCAUGGACGGACGCAGUAUGGGCGUUGAUUGUCCAUCUGAACCCCCUGACUGAAGAGAAGCUUGCCAGUUUCUACAAUGUCUUCCCUGUAAAGGAUCUCUUAUUGGUUUGGGCCUUGAGGCCACAGUUGUGCUGAAGAGUCCUCCUGUAACCAUUAACUGCCAAUGGCAAAGGCAGAGAAUGUAAGAACUACAGUCAUUAGAUUCCAUUUGAUGGCUUCAUUUCGGGGCACAUGUUUCCAGUGACUGACUUGUUCCUCGGAUGGGAUGCAGCUUGAGUAGAGCUAAUUUUAUUGCCAUGUUUGGAGAAUGUAAAAUGAGUGCUUAUUUAACCAUGCGUUUAUGUAUUGCACAAUUUUGAAAGUUGUUCAUUGUUCCCAAUAAAGAAAUAUACUUUCUUGUA